rnacentral:rRNA from 1 species
UAGGUGGGAGGCUUUGAAGUGUGGACGCCAGUCUGCAUGGAGCCGACCUUGAAAUACCACCCUUUAAUGUUUGAUGUUCUAACGUUGACCCGUAAUCCGGGUUGCGGACAGUGUCUGGUGGGUAGUUUGACUGGGGCGGUCUCCUCCUAAAGAGUAACGGAGGAGCACGAAGGUUGGCUAAUCCUGGUCGGACAUCAGGAGGUUAGUGCAAUGGCAUAAGCCAGCUUGACUGCGAGCGUGACGGCGCGAGCAGGUGCGAAAGCAGGUCAUAGUGAUCCGGUGGUUCUGAAUGGAAGGGCCAUCGCUCAACGGAUAAAAGGUACUCCGGGGAUAACAGGCUGAUACCGCCCAAGAGUUCAUAUCGACGGCGGUGUUUGGCACCUCGAUGUCGGCUCAUCACAUCCUGGGGCUGAAGUAGGUCCCAAGGGUAUGGCUGUUCGCCAUUUAAAGUGGUACGCGAGCUGGGUUUAGAACGUCGUGAGACAGUUCGGUCCCUAUCUGCCGUGGGCGCUGGAGAACUGAGGGGGGCUGCUCCUAGUACGAGAGGACCGGAGUGGACGCAUCACUGGUGUUCGGGUUGUCAUGCCAAUGGCACUGCCCGGUAGCUAAAUGCGGAAGAGAUAAGUGCUGAAAGCAUCU